rnacentral:rRNA from 1 species
AGAGUUUGAUCAUGGCUCAGAAACGAACGCUGGCGGCGUGGAUAAGACAUGCAAGUCGGACGGGACUAUUUCUAGUAGCAAUACCGGGGAUAGUUUAGUGGCGAACGGGUGCGUAACACGUGGGCAAUCUGCCGAAAAGUGGGGGAUAGCUCGCCGAAAGGCGAAUUAAUACCGCAUGUGGUGAGGGGAGACAUCUUUCUGAAUCCAAAGCCGGGGCAACCUGGCGCUUUUUGAGGAGCCCGCGGCCUAUCAGCUAGUUGGUGAGGUAACGGCUCACCAAGGCGGUGACGGGUAGCUGGUCUGAGAGGACGACCAGUCACACUGGAACUGAGACACGGUCCAGACACCUACGGGUGGCAGCAGUCGAGAAUUUUUCUCAAUGGGGGAAACCCUGAAGGAGCGACGCCGCGUGGAGGAUGAAGGCUUUCGGGUUGUAAACUCCUGUCAUUUGGGAACAAGGCGCAUUUAUUAACUGUAAGUGCGUUGAUAGUACCAGAAGAGGAAGGGACGGCUAACUCUGUGCCAGCAGCCGCGGUAAUACAGAGGUCUCAAGCGUUGUUCGGAUUCAUUGGGCGUAAAGGGUGCGUAGGUGGCGCUGUAAGUCGGGUGUGAAAUUUCGGAGCUUAACUCCGAAACUGCAUUCGAUACUGCGGUGCUUGAGGACUGGAGAGGAGACUGGAAUUCAUGGUGUAGCCAGUGAAAUGCGUAGAGAUCAUGAGGAAGACCAGUGGCGAAGGCGGGUCUCUGGACAGUUCCUGACACUGAGGCACGAAGGCCAGGGGGGGCGGACGGGAUUAGAUACCCCCGUAGUCC